GUGCUUCUGUAUAGUGAUAGUAUCUGGUUGUAGCUUCCACCUGCCACCAUUGGUGGAGGUCAAGAGCUGUGUAUUGUGAGGUCACCACAAUCUUGGCUCAUUCCCUCACAGUUGCUGCUUUUCUAACAUUUGCAUGGGUGGUCUCACUGACUGGCUGAGCUGGAGAACCAGCCUAUCAUCAACAGGUUAAAGAUGCUUUCAUGGAUUCCAGUUUAGAGGAUCCUGCUGGUCACAGUCCAGAGCUUGGUAACUGGGUAUUAUAGAAGGAACAUCAGAAGAAGACAGCCCUUGAGCCCCAUUGGAAAGGACCUUACCUAGUAUUUGUAACUACUGACACUGCUGCAGAACUAGAAGGCAGUUAAUGUUGGAGCUACAUCUCAUAGCUUAAGAAGUCUCCACCUGACAUCUGGUCUCGUACAAAUGCUGGAGACCUCCAAGUCAAACUUACUGGGAAGAGAAGCCGCUAACAUCUGAGGCAGACAGUUCCUCCCAAGACUCAGGACCACGCCUGUAUUCUCACUUUUCCUUCAUUAUGUUAUGCUUGGUACUUUGGACAAUAUUGGACUCACUCGUCUAUCCCCUCUCCUCCUCUAUCACAUCCUAAUGAAAUAUCAUGGUUGCCUACCCAUCUAACUAAUAUAGCCCCAAACACACCGUAGAUUUAUAUUAUGAUGAUGACUUAGACACAGUGUUUAUGACUCCUUGAACAUAGCCUAAUAUUCCCUUG